UGGGCAUCAAGAAAGGAAUCUGUCUCGUUGAUACAAGACUACCUUUUAAGGCUCGUAAUUAAUCCGUCCCGAAUCGUGGCAAUAAUCAUUUGAGGAUUCGGAGAACGAAGAAAACGAGCAAGAUGGUGGUGGUGGUGGUGGUGGUGGUGAGAACAACGGCAGUAAAGAACCAAGUACAAUCUAAUGCAAAUUGAAAUAAUAAAAAAUACAGCCUAAGAAAAUUUACAAAAGUUCUUCUCAUGAAUAAGAGCACCUGCCAGUCUUAGUAUGAAUGCGAAUCUACGAACGAAGGCAGUGACAAUAUAACUUACAGUUGCAAGAUCAUCGGGCAGCGGUGAAAUAAUUUUAAAAGCAGUAGGGCGGUUAUCUAUCUUAAAUCUAUUUGCAUAGAAUCCUGGCGAAUGACUUGGCAGUUUCAAGCUCCUCGGUGACUGUUGAACCGAUGUCAUGCUGAGUUUUGGACUGGGUGAGACAAUUAUCUCCCUAGAACUUCCUUUCUCUGGUGCCUUUUCCCGUUCCUGGUGUCCUUUAACAAUAUUGCUAUUGAUAGGGCGAGGGGUUGAGGCUUUUGUAACUUCAGCAGCCUCUUCCGUUUUAAGUUUUUUGGCUGGUUGUUCAGUCACCACUUCACUCUUGUUAAUUGGGAAAUUCUGCAAUACCAAAACAUGUACUGUGAGAACUGAAAAUAAAGAUCUCAACUGAAAACGUUUUCUUCAAACCAGAUUGGCUCAUCUCGAAAAUUUGGCAAACGCAAGAAGAAACAUCUCUCCGUACUGAAAAAAAAGUACAGGAAUAGGGAAAUUUAUCUUGCUCAUCAAGAUAAUUACAACCAGCUCAAAAACAAAUAAAAACUAUAAAAUGCGAAAAUGAUUAGAGAAAUGGAAAUCUACUUAAGAAGGCAAAACAGUAAAAUAAGUGAUUCAUGAAUGCAUGUAGUGUUGAAACUCAUAUAUAAUAUUAUGGAUAACUUUAGAAAGCAUAACUACAAAUUGAGUGUUUAAAAAAAAAGCCGCUCAAGUUUCACAAAAUAAGCAGCAUAACCAAAGGAUAUAUCCACAGUAGAACUUUUUGUGGGAACGGACUGGUUUACUGUUGUACUAUGGGUCUGAUAUAUAAACCAGACCCAAGCCAGAUUUAAUGUACACAAAUCUACUUUCCUCCACACCCGCCCAGCUCAUUAGGGAAGAAAGAUACGCAUGAAGAAGCGACUGCUUUAUAAAGCGGAUGCGCUAAGGAUGAAUGAAGCAAAGAGAGAUCUGCUAUACGCUUGUUGCUGGGGUGGGAUCAACUGUCAUUCGUUGAACAAAGUCGUCUUCGACGCUUGGAGGCUAUGCAGAACGGACCCACGCCUAGAGUUCGCUCAGAUAAGUAAGAUCAAUCUAGGGCAGCUUUGUUCAAGAGACAACAAGAGAGGAUCUUGUAAUUCUGGGCGCUCGACCACAAAAGAAAAACGCCGGAAUCAAAGGCAGUAAAGGGUAUUGCCGCAUGAUCGCCGGCCUUGAUUGCUGAUAACCUUUGAUUAUUGGCUUUUAGCAUUGAUAAUCAGCAUUAAACGUCAACAAUCGUUUCACUGCAAAUAGCUGUCUGUUUUUAUAUAGAUAUCAGAAAUUGUACAAAUGAUUGAUACAACACAAUCAGAAGAAAGCACAAGAGGCUUGAUGCUUGAACCACAAAGCCUGAACAGCUUGGCUAUGCUGGCUUGAGGCGGUAUCAACUAAGAAAAGGUCAGGGGGGCGAAAUCUCUUAUUAAAAAAUUUGAUUCUUUUUUACUGGCUAGGUCAGGUGAGUUUCAAUCCUCUAUUGGAUUAAAUGUCUCAAGUACCACCUUUGGUGAGUCCUGGAUCAUGGAUCCAGGAGCUACUUGCAGUGACCCACUUACAUACUCUNNNNNNNNNNNNNNNNNNNNNNNNNNNNNNNNNNNNNNNNNNNNNNNNNNNNNNNNNNNNNNNNNNNNNNNNNNNNNNNNNNNNNNNNNNNNNNNNNNNNNNNNNNNNNNNNNNNNNNNNNNNNNNNNNNNNNNNNNNNNNNNNNNNNNNNNNNNNNNNNNNNNNNNNNNNNNNNNNNNNNNNNNNNNNNNNNNNNNNNNNNNNNNNNNNNNNNNNNNNNNNNNNNNNNNNNNNNNNNNNNNNNNNNNNNNNNNNNNNNNNNNNNNNNNNNNNNNNNNNNNNNNNNNNNNNNNNNNNNNNNNNNNNNNNNNNNNNNNNNNNNNNNNNNNNNNNNNNNNNNNNNNNNNNNNNNNNNNNNNNNNNNNNNNNNNNNNNNNNNNNNNNNNNNNNNNNNNNNNNNNNNNNNNNNNNNNNNNNNNNNNNNNNNNNNNNNNNNNNNNNNNNNNNNNNNNNNNNNNNNNNNNNNNNNNNNNNNNNNNNNNNNNNNNNNNNNNNNNNNNNNNUAGUCUUCUUCGGCAAACCCUAGUUCAUGGAUUCAGGACCUACUGACCGCACGACCCACUCACCAAAUGUCUUCUUCACAUACUCUCCUUAUCCAUGCAGUAGGAAAACAAUCUUCUUUGACGACUCCUGGAUCACUAUGGAUUUAGGAGCUACCGACAACAUGGCCCACUCACAAAAUGUCUUCUUCGCAUACUUUCCUUAUCCAAGCAGUAGGAAAAUAGUCCUCUUUGACGAAUCCUGGAUCAUGGAUUAAGGAGCAACCGACCACAUUUCCCACUCACCAAAUGUCUCCUUAACAUACUCUCCUUAUCCAAGCAGUACGGAAAUAGUCACGACAGAUGGUUGUUUAACCACUGUAGCUGGUGUAGAAGAUGUUAAAAUAAGCCCUUCAUUGACCUUAAAAAAUGUUCUUCAUGUGCCUAAAUGGUCCACAAACCUUGUGUUUAUCCAAAAUCUUACUCGAUAUUUACAUUGCAAAUUGGUUUUCCAUCAUAAUUAUUAUGUAUUUCAUGACAAGAAUACGGGGAGGAAGAGUAAACAUGCUAGACAACAAGAUGGACACUACUAACUUGAAGCACCAAACUAAUUGAACACAUAGGGCGAUCUACUAAUUCCAUUGAACUUCGUUCAUCCAAUAAGGAGAGAAUUUAGUUUCACCAUCGCCAACUAAGACAUUUGUCACUUACGGUUAUCAUAACUAUAUUUUCUUCUUUACUCAGAGCCUUAGAAGUCGAAGAUUUUCAUUGUGAUAUGUGCAAACUUGUUAAACACAAACAUGUACACUUUUCAGUUAGCAAUGAAAUAAGUUUUAUUUUUUUAUUUUGUAUUUAUAUCGAUAUCUGUGAUCCUCCAAUCGCUCCUAAUGUUUAUGGGAUUAAACGGCUUGGAACAUUUAUUGAAGAUUGUACUCAUGUUAUUUGGUUUUUUCUGCUCAAACAUAAAUCUGAUGUCAUUACUUUUCUCUCCAGGUUUUCUUCCAUAAUUAAUAAUUGCUGGAAAACGUUUUCCAACAAUAAUCAAUUUGGAGUCGAUGUCGAAAGAUUUAGGUCAAAUAACCCCGACUAUUUCAAUCAAAUCCUGACUUGAUACUUUCAAAUAUAAGGGUUAGUACAUGAGUCAUCAUGUGUCAAUAUGCCACAGAAAAAAAGGAAAAAUGGUCAUCUUCCUAAGGUAACCUAGGCACUUCGUUUCCUAAGGAAAAAUGUCGAAUAGGAUUAUGGAAAUAACUUAGCAAUCACCUCAUACAUGGUUUGCUAAAUUUACAAGAGUCAUGAUUGUCAUGGGGGGUAGACACAAAACUAAGACGAUCAGCCGCUCUUCAUUUAACAUUUAACCUCAAGGGGAGUCACAACACUAUUAGUAUAUGUUAAUGACAUAAAUGUGAUUAGGCAUGAUCACAAAGAGAGAGAAUCUCUGAGUCAAUGUUUGACUAAGGAUUUUGAGAUCAAAACAUUAGGAGGGCAGAAAUAUUUCCACAGAAUUGAAGUAGCCCACUCAAGACAAGACAUCUUCAUCUCCCAAUAAAAGUAUGUAACCGACCUUAUUAGAGAAACAAGUAAAACUGCAUGCAAAUCAGCGAGUGCUCCAAUAGAUCCGAAUCUUAAACUAGACAAGACAGAAGAGAACAUUGAUAUAUAUAGAGAACAAUAUCAGCACCUAACAGGAAGGCUUAUUUAGUUGUCUCAUACACAACUAGAUAUAAUAUGUGUGGUGAGUAUAAUUAGCCAAUUCGCGCACAAUCUAAAGGAACAUCUGCAAACAGUUUACCAAGUGUUAUAGUGUCUUAAAUGGACACCAGAAAUAGGUAUUUUAGUCAAGAGAAAUAGACGAUUGAUACUUGAAGGCAUAAACAGAUGCAAAAUAUGCACGAUCAACUGUUGACAGGAGAUCAACCUCUAGAUAGUGCACCUGCCUUGAUGACAAUCUCGUGAUGUGGAAAAGAAAGAGAAUGUGGUAGCAUGAUCAAGUGUAGAGGUUGAAUUCCGAGCAAUGACUCAAAGUCUGUGUAAAUUAUUUUAGUUGCAGAUCAUCUUAGAAGAAUUGAAGAUUAAGUGAGAUGACCUAAUGAGAUUUUAUUGUGACAACAAGCCUGCAAUCAAUAUUGCUAACAGUCUAGUGCAACACAAUCGAAUAAAGUACAUUAAGAUUGACAAAUACUUUAUCAGGAAAAAGCUGUAGAGUGGUCUGAUUUGCACACUUUAUGUGCCUACACAUGGUCAACUUGAGGAUGUACUUACUAAGGGCCUGAGUAGCCUAGUAUUUCAGAGUCUUGUAUCCAAGCUCGGAAUAAAGGAUGUCUAUUCACCCAACUUAAGGAAGAGUGUGGAAAUAGACUGGCUCACUAUUGUACUAUAGGCCCGGUUUAUAAGCCAGACCCGAGCCAGACAUAAUGCACACAAAUCAAUUUUCCUCCAUCGCACGCCUGCCUGGGGUUCGUUUGUUUUGGCAUUUUCACACAAACAAGUAUCCUCUAUAAUUAUCUAGUCUUAUAAAGGGACUAUUUCGUGAUGCGAAAAUCUGGAUAGACCUUCACAGGUAUCCUGAAGCUAACACGUGCAGAAAAUAUGCUGAAGAAAUUAAUAUGAAACUAUUACAGGUAUCUAUAUCCACAAAUCAGCAAACACGGAUUAGCAUCCAUGGUAAAUACGACAAGGUAGUUGCGCAUUCCGAGCUUAUGCCCAUCAGACAUUUCAUCGAAGUGGUAACAAGCUAAAAAUAACAUGAACGCAAAUGUAAAAAAUUCUACAGGUCAUUUCAUAGAAGUCUACAUAGAAUUAUUAUAAGUAUCUACAUUCAGAGGUAAGUAUAUUCAUAUUUGGCAUCCAAGGUAAAUAUGUCAAUUUUCACAGUUAUCCAGAGAUAAUACUCAACAGAGAACCACUUUCAUCAUAGUGGUGACCAGCUACAGCUCAAAUGAACGCAAAAGCAAGAAUGAAAUGAAUGAAAUUACACCGUAGUAACAUACUGAGCAGGGCCUUACUUGCUUUUGUAGUUUUUCCAACUGACGUUUGAAGUCAUCUCGCUUCUGUUUCAAAGACUCCUGCUUUUUACGAAGUUCCUCUUUCAAGGACUCCAGAUUCUCCAUUUUGCUUUGCACCGGUGGAAUCGCUUUUGGCUCACCAACUGUUGAUGCUUUUUGUAAGACUGAAGUGGGUGCAGAACCACCAACUUGGGGAACACUGAAAGCUUUUGGUGAAAUGGAUGUCUUACUUUCACCUCUAUCACGAACAAAUGACUGCAGUUGAAUAGGAGUUGCUGUGGACUGGACAGCUACAGGCGUGGUACGACCCUUAAUUUCUCCAUCAGGGAUAUUAUCCCGAUUAGCCCACCACAGUCUAAUGAACCGAUUACCCAUAACAGCAUCAGGCGACUUUAAAGCAGCCUCUGCCUCCUCCCUCUUGGAGAAUUGCACAAAAGCUUUCUCACUAUUUACUGGAAUGUAGAUAUCAAUUAUCUCCCCAAACUUCUGGAAAUGCGAAACAAGAGCUUCUCUCCUGUUGUUCUUCUGUGGAAUACCAUUGACAAACAACGUACGCUGAGCUUUCUGAGAAGCCUUUCCAAGCUUACGGCCGGUGUCUGCGUCUGUUAAUUUGGCUGUUUUAGGCACAGUUCCGCCAGAAACAGUAUGUAUACCUUGACCUGAUGUACUAAGAGAAUUAGUUACCGACUCUUCUACCUCCUUCUUCAUUCCAUUCCCAAUAUAAACUGAAGAAGUUAUAGCAUUAGCAGUUCUUUUCGUGCUUUCAAAGUUACUACCAGAUCUAACCCGUCCCCAAACAGAUGGUGCUGCGGCCUCUGAAGGAUGAUCGCCUGCAGAAAGACUACGUUGAUCAUUACUCGUGCUUGCCGAUAAAAUGUAGUUAUGAUGGUCAGAAGAACCAGCUUCCCACAGUGUUCCAACAUCUUCAGUGCUUGGAGAAGGAAGCCCAAGACAAGAACCAGAUGUCUCAGGGCGAUCACUAUUCCACAGUGGUUGAUCAGGAUCAUACACAUCUGCUUCGACACCAGGAACUGGAGCAGACAUUGCUCCAUCAACUCCUGAUCCAUUAUUGGUCGCCCCAGAUUUAGAAGUUUUACUAGGCGUAGAUUUGCUAUUUGCCAAAAAGUUUGACGCUGGUGGCAAGGGUCCAACGGUAGCUUGAGCUCCCAAUAUGCUUGUGUUUGGAAGAGACACAGGAAGAUUGAACUGAGAAAGGCUCUGGAUACCACAAACAAAAGGACUGUUAUUCAGACAAAUGCAAAAGCACAGAAUUACUUUAGUAAAACAUGUUCAUAAUUAUGUACAAGGAUUCUCUUCGACUGACAAUUAUCACAGAGAAGAGAUGUCAUUCCUGUGCCACAACAUCCCCCUUUCCAGGAUAUAGGCAACAUCAAGACCUCGGUAAUCAUUUACCAAUAUGGUAGUAUACCUGUGCGGCAAGUAUCAUGGCGCUUCUAAUGGGUUUCUCCUCUUAAAGGUAAGCUUGCCCAUGAAAAAUAUUAGACAUCAAACUCAACAGUAAUUUUACAAACCAAGGAUACUUUAAACUUUUUUUUCUGAUAAGGCUUUAGUAAGACCAAUAUAAUAACCCUUGGGUUACUCAGCUGAAAUCAUUCAAGUACAAUUAAGCUUCUAUCACAGUAUCAACAAAAUGAAUUUAACAGCAUGAUAAAUAACGAUUAGAUGCAGAAUAAGACAAUUGGUAUCAAUUUGGCCUUUGAUAAAACUUAGGUGCCAUUGUUAGAAUGAACAUCUUUAUAAUUCAUUCUGAUUUCAGAGAUUUCAUGAACAUAUUUUCAUUGAACAUCAAGCGCAAAAUGUGACCAAAGAUAUCACAGAGACAAACUUCUAAUUGAUAUUGACCAUCUUAUGCAUGAAAUCUUAAACCAAGAACUACCAAAAUCAGAAAACAAUUAUGGAAGAAUAUGUUAUCUACCUGAACAUCUUCAACAACAAUGCGAUUCAUCCCAUGUUCCAUUGGACACAUGUCCCCUCUCAAACAAAACCCACGCUCCUCAAAAUCUCGGCACCGCUGACGUGGCAUGCCAACAUUAACGGAAUUUAUUGAUGGAUGGAGUGCUCCCUGAAGAUUAAGAGGGUGAAGUGGAUCCAAACAGCCAUUAGUCAUGCCUGGAAUAAAUCCAUAUGAACCCCAUGUCGUACUUUGUGCACUUGCUGUACUUGAAAAGCCUGCUCCUAGUAAACUAGGCACUUGCGAAGCAAAACCAAGUGGAUCAAGAGGGUUAAAUCUGGCAUCGUGCUGGUUCCAAGAACUUGCACCUCUUCCUCUUCCUCCAAUGGGAGGACGGAGUAAAGUUGUGGACAAAUCAAAACGAGAGUUGUUGUUGGGACGAAAACCACGACCCAUUCUUGUCUUUUGUCCAAAAUCCAUAGGAUUAUUAAGAACGGGUGCAGGACGUCGCUUUUCAGAACUUGAAGAAGAGUCCCUCUCUGAAAAAGGAUUGUAUUCUUUGAGAAUCUCAACAGAUUGAGGCUCACGUUCCGCAAACUGCUGGCCAUUUUCAUAGGGCUUAUUCCUCCUCCUGAUUGGCUGCCUUGCAAAUUGUCCUUGAGCAUCUUCUUCUAAGGGUUGAGUGCGAUUAUCUCGUCUGCGAUGCUUAUGAUUACGAUCAUCAUCUUCAUCAUCACUGACUUCUUUUUCUUCAGAAUCACUAAUUUGUCUAGAAAUAGAAGGAUUGUCUUCUUUUGGUGACGAGCACUGUUUUACUGGGUCUACAGCAUUGGGCGGAGGGUCAGGUUUUGCUAUUUCAUCAAUCGUCCCCUCAGGUGUUAUGAUUGUGUCAUCAUCAAAAGUUUUAAACAGCUCUGAAACAAAGGACUUUGUACCUACAAAAUUUUAACAUAAGCUUUUCAGAAGGAAACCACAAUGAAUGCAGAAGUGAAAAGCAUGAAGUGAUUUGCAGCUGACUGUAAAGUAGGCAUGUAUCUUACGAGAUCACAAAAGAAUGCAGCAUAAUCGUGCCCAUAGUUUGAAGACUCAAUUUGAUGUCAAAAUUGCACUCAUCAAAAGAAGGAAACUCAAAAGCCCAAUAGUGGCCAACAAUGCAACAAAAAUGAUCGUCUUUCCCUCUCUUCCGAAUGGAAAUAGAAAAUGAAGAGGUAAGGCGUCCAACAAUCUCAAGAAAUUGUUAUCCUUAGUAUCGCGCAUCAGGGGCUCCUUGGAUUUGAAGAGAAAGUUUAUUGUCAGCCUCAAAGCAGAUAGGUUGAGGUGGAGAUGAGAGAACAGAAAUGAUUCCUCAAUCCAAUCAGCUUAUCUCGUCAUCUCUAAUGGAGUUAUGAGAGAUAUUGUGGCUCCUUGGAUUUGGAGAAUCUGCCACCGGAAGGCGCAAUGAACUUUGGAGAAUUUCGCAUGGGAGAGUCCUACUUUGAUCCCUUUGUUCUUUGGACACGAUCCAUGCUGCUUGUUGCUUGUGUGGUGAUGAUGAAGAAAAUUUUCAACAUUUAUUCCUUAAUGUUCCUUUUCACAGGGGAUACUCAACACAUUAAGUUAAAUCUUACAUGGAAGCAACCUUAGUGGACUUUUGACUGAUAAUUGGAAACGUCAUUGGAUAUGGAAGCCAACUUGCUACAUUUAGUGGUAUUUGACAUGCUAUACUUUCGGCUGUUCGUAUACAGAGGAUUGACAUAUUGAAGGGGGAAUCUAACCUGAGGGUUUGUUACAAGUUUAAUGAGCGGGUGGCGUUUCUAUGUAAGGGGUGUUCACGAUUCAGGGUUGUCAAGUCAACAAUUUUUAUGCCAUUUUCUAUCAUACGCCUUGUUAAUGUGAUACCAUACUAACGUACAUGUUUUUCCUUGCAAAAGCUCAUGCUUUUCAAGCUUUUUUAUCUCUCCAUUAAUAACCAUGUGGUACAACCCACUUUCAUGAAAAAAAAGAAAAAAUGCAUGUCUAAUAGGAUCAUGUGACUUUUAUCUUGGUGACAGAUAAGGAUUCCAUGUAUCUCACCGAGAUAAUUGGGCUAACUUAAUAAAGGAUACAAACGAGCUCACAAGAGGGGAAGCUAAGAAGAGCCUGCCGUUUCCUCUCUGUGAUGCAACAAAUAAAAAGGUAUUUUGCGUAAUAUGUUUUUAUUCUUGAUCAGGGAUUGUGUGAUGUAUGAAACUUUGUUAAACCAGCACAUCCACCUCUACUGAGCUCAAGUAGGGAGAAAUUUACCCCACUCUGAGCUGAAAACACCUUGCAGUAUGGUCCAUGCAGUACGUUCCUUGUAGACCGCACACAAAGUUUCUAAAGAUUGUUUCAUGCAGUACGUUACCCAAAAAUACCCCUUUUCUGAGUAAAAUUGCAACCCUUCUGAGUUAAAGGACAAUAUGAUGAACAGUUAUAAGACUGCAUCUGCACCUUCCAAGAUCAGACAGAAUGUGCUAUUUAGCAAAUUUCUAAUGCUUUUGGGGUAUUUCUCUUUUCAUAGAAGACUUCCAUGGAAUAAUAGUGAUUCUCCUCUACUUGGAUGCAGCUUACUUUCAUUACACUCAAGGAGUAUCAAAAUGCUCACCAUUCCAGGAGACGAAAUUAUAGUACUACAUACAGACUCACUCCACCUUCGAUGUUUGACAGAUUUAAAAUAGCUAAUAAAUCGAAAUAUAAACCAUUUUGAAGGAGAUAGUAUUAGAGAAGCUGCAUGUACCUAGGCUAUUAUUCAGAGGAAGGAGACGAAAACUCAUCUCCCCAAAAAAAAGUUCCACCAGCCAAUGCUCCAGAACCCUAAACCAACUCUUGGGUGUAAUUUUACACUCGGUAUUAUAGCAUCCAGUCACUGAUUGCCCCUUUAUAUAUAUCUUUCAAGAGUUUUUUUCAUGCCGUUUUUAAAUGGAUAUUCACUUAACAGAUUCUUCAAAUGUACUCAUAAAAACAUCGUUUAUCAAAAGUAAAUAAUCAGAUUUCUAAAUAAUCAAAUUUCAUAAUUCUUCCACUAUGCUAUCUUACGUUGCUUGUUUUCAUGUAUACUCACCGCAAUUUAUCCAAUCAUUUAAAUUGGAUAUGUUACACUUAGCAUGGUCAAGCUAUUGAAACAAAUGAGCUGAAUCAUAGAUACGAGCAAAGAAAAAUAUAUAGACCAACAUAAUUUUAAAUGAUGAAAACUUAAAUAAAAUGAUACCCCCUAACUGCCAUUUUCAAUUGCAACAGAGUUCUGAAAAAAAAGGGUACUAAUAAAAAUAAGCAAAGAAGGUUAUGAUUGCCCGAAAAUUAGGAGCCACAAUGACUUGAUACAGUAAAAAUACCCAUCUCAAAAUUCAUUCUAAAUUUUAUGAAGCGCCAUUUUAAGUUUCAAACAUAAAAGCUUCAAGCUAACAAAAAACUCUAAUGAAAUAACGACAGUCAAGCUUUAACACACCCAAAUCCAAGAGUAUUUGAUUAUGUAGAGUUCCCUUAAUUGACAAUGUCCGAAAUUAAGGAAGUUUCAAGCUACAGUGCAUUCCAUAGAUAUGAUCCACAAGUGCCUGAUCUGAACCAAGGGGAUAGCAUACCAUGCCCAAGAAAUUCCACCAAAUCAUCGAUGCACAGUUUUUGCAACUCUUGUACAGGUUUGUCCUUCUUCAACAAUGCAACAAUAUAAUCCGCUAGGAUCGCGGGAUCUGCCUCGGUGCUUGAAAAUUGUAUGAGUUGCCACGAAAGGAAAAAAUUAGGCAAAAGAAGCACAUAGAUAAGUAAAGGAGACAAGAAUUCGGGACAUUACAGAAAAAAUAUUCACACUUAAAAUAUGAUCCCACAAUAAAAAAAAGUAGUAUGUAUCUUUUUCACACCAGUUAUGAGUUGAAUUUUCAGUGAAUUUCCACAAUUUAGGCAAUUAUUUCUUCAAUAACGAGCCACAUUUAGACGUUUCUGUGUCUUCUACAUAGACAUGAUCAAUUUAUUAUGUCAUCAAUUGCUACUAUGUUGGCUGAGAAUCAGUCACACCAAAUUAAUGAAGUACCCAACAUCUCAAUCCUCUCAGAAGGCCAUAAUCACUGCACUGAGUCCGGAAAAAAGAAACAACCAGUCCAGAUACGGGUUUUCACGACUGGCAUAAGAACAGCGGGUUUUCUUCACCCAUUCGUGAAUUGGAAGCUGAAAAGGAAUCCCAAAUUCCAAAGUCGAACGAUGAACAGAUCUAAUUCGAAUCCGUUACCUAUCCUGAUCCAAUAUGACGCCUCUGUGAACAUGAAAGGCCAAUAGGGAAAGAGAUUUCCCACCUAAGAUCUCAUUAGGACUUCCACCCAGCAUUUCCCCCUUAGAUUAUCCCCUCCCACCCAAAAUUAAGUGUCAGUAUCAAGCAGAAACACGGGGUUCACCGUGCCGCGGAGAGACCAAGAUAUUAUAGUUAGGUCACGGCAGCCGACUGAAAUACGAGUGAGCAAAUACCUAGGGUUAGACCGAGAAGGUAGAGCAACUUACAGAGGCUCGAGGUUCUUCACGAGGUACCCGGUCAGGGACGACUCGUCAAAUUUCAUUUCUCCCCCUUCUUCAUCUGUGUCCUGGACGGAACGGGGUAGUCAAGGGGAAGCCCCCUCUGCGGCGAUCCGCGCCACAGCAGGAAGGACCGCACUGGUAGCGGGGGUGGGGAGGGUUCGCCCAAUCAACAAGCAAGCACGGAGCACCCCGAGAGAGCUCCUUCCCCGUUUUUCCUCUGUCACAGGGAGGAUGGAACCGGCGACCGGGGGUUGAAGGCCGGCGAUGGCUCGCGCGAUUCCUUAUUAUCUCCUCCCAGCAGCGAGGACAACCCCAACCCUGCACCGCAGCCUGCUAGAGAGAGAAGCAGUCGAGGAGGAAGAGAGAGAGAGAGAGAGAGAGAGAGAGAGGUNNNNNNNNNNNNNNNNNNNNACCGACCGACCGACCGACCGACCGACCGACCGACGACGACGACGACGACGAGAGAGAGAGAGAGAGAGAGAGAGAGAGAGAGAGAGAGAGAGAGAGAGAGAGAGAGAGGGUUGCAGAAAAUGAUUUUUCUACCCUGGCGAGGGCAAAUGAAGUCGGAACGAUAACUGGGGACGAAAGCCGAGGAAGAAGCUAUGACGUGUCAAUGAGCCCAAUUUGGGCUUGACUGGGCCCAAUGGACCAUAAACGGGCCUGUUUCUCCCGAGGGGCCGGGUCCAAACUAAAUUACUUUUAAAUACCCCUUGCGGCCCAUAAAUUAUAUGGGCUUCGCAGCGGUGUUUUGGCCCAAUUUGAAAAAAAACACUUCUUAAACUAGCUUGAGCGAGCGGUGGGACCCACUUACAUCCUUGCUGCUUUCCUAAGCAAGAAAAUAACGAUCGUAUAAUUAAAAAAAAUAAUUAAAAUAAGGGAAAAAAUAGGAAUAACGAGAAAUAUUGGUAUUAAAUUUGUUUAGCCAUUGAAAAUGUAAUGGGCCUUUUUAAUUUCUAUGUGGGUCAAACAGAGCUUUGUGAUGCAAGCCAAAAAAAAUGUGGGACCCACAGUAUUAUGAUUAUCAUUAUAAGAAUUUUCAAGGAAAGUCAACUGGGAUUGUGACAUCCUUUUUUGUCCCAUUUUUGAUAAACACCGAUGCAUGCAUGAUUCCUUAUUAAGUUUUUUUUAAAAAAAAACCUUCGCAAGAAGAUAUUUGUGCAUAAUCCAUAUUGGAUGCCAAAAGUAUAAGGUGGGGAAGAUUCAUAUUAGAACACAAGGCACAGAUGAACAAGAUUAGGUUUUCCCCACUUUUCUGGAGGAAUUGGGAGUGAGAUGGAUGGAAAUGGCAACCUGCACACUGUACAUAGACGGAUUGAAGAAACCCAGAAUUGGAACCCAAAUUAAUAAUGUUUCCACAGUUCAUAAGGCCGGGAGGGGUGAAGAGGAUGAUGAAGAUGAACAGCACAGAGCUUCCCCGAUGAUCCUGCUGAGUGGGAGGGCAAGAAGGCCUGAACAGAGAGAAUAAGAUGGAUGAAAAUGGCGACCUGUACACUGGAAAUAGAUCCAUGGAAGAAGCCCGGAGAGUGAUGAGGAGGACGGUCAACGUCCAAACCAGCCCUUCUGAGGUGGGUUCUCGCCGUCGUUCAUCAGCUUGUCCAGGACCACAUUGAGGUCAACGUUCUGCCCAUUCUCUGUCAGCCUUCUCACAGUUGCCCUGACCACAUCUCUGGGGAAGCCCAUGGUGGUGACCUUGUCGACCACAUCGUCAAUAGGGACCCUCUCUCCGGCGGCGCCGCCAGAGCCAGAGCCGGAGCCGGAGCCAGAGCCUGAAGAGACGGCUUGGGGUAGUAUCUGGGCAGUAGGGAGACGGGGAUAGCUGCCUCCACCAGAAGCAGGAGCAGAGGAGAAGAAUGGCGGUUGCUUCAUUGCAGAGUUGUAGUGAGAAGGAGACCCACCAUGUGGGUAAGACUCAGAAAGGCUAGGCCCUGCAGGAGGGCUGUACCCUGUGGGAAAUUGCUGGGCGGAGCUCGGUCUGACCGCUUGGGGGUCAAAGAUAUUGCCGCCAUGUCCGGCAAAUUGCUGGGUAGGUGGAGGCCCGGAUAGCUGAGGUGGCUGGCGGAUGCUUGGCGGAUAAGUCUGAGAUGGCGGCACCAUGUAAGGUGAGGAUUCUUCGGGGUGGUGAGGUGGCGGAGCUUGGAGCUGGGGGGGAGGGGGCAUGUUUUGGGAUGACUGCGGUGGUUGGGAAUACUGUGGAGGAUGAGGAGCUGGCUGGAACUGAGCUGGCGGGGGUAGCUGAGGUGGAUGCUGAGGUGGAAGCUGGUACUGCUGAUGUGGGGCCUCUCCCAGAGGCUGACUGGGUGGAAGGAAGUAAGGCUCCCGUUGGGGCAUGGCCGGAAGAGAAGGAAACUGGGUCUGGGGCACCUGAGGAGGUGGCGGCGGUGGUGGUGGUGGCGGCGCAGGGAGAGCAGGAAGUUGAGAUGGAACCAUCCCUUGUGGGGGCAGAGGUGGCUGCGAUGGCGGCAUAGGUGGUUGAGUGGGUACAGAUGGAGCAAUGGCAGAAUCAUCUGGCUGCCGAUGAUCACCCUUGGAAGCCUGCAGCUUUGCUAGUUGAAUCUGAGCUUCAACAAUCUCCUGCUUGUCGCGAAGAACUUGCACACCAG
rnacentral:lncRNA from 1 species